UUUUUAUUUAUUUUAUUUUAACAGAAUAGUCAUUAUACAGUGUUAAGCACUGCUUUUCCAAUUGUACUAAGCAUCGAUUACCUGAAGAACUUGACAAAACACAAUUUCUGACCACUCCUUACAGAAUCUGAGCUGUGAAUUCAGGAAUGGAGUGAGAGCAUGGACAGAGAAUGAAGAAGUGAGAAAGCAUCUGAAGCGUCCAAGAAUCAGGGCCCCUUCCAAGAGGCAGGCUGAACCCUUCAGGCCCAGAGAAGGUACAGUUCCAGAGGAGCGGAAGCCGACGUGACGUUGGACCAGUUCAAAGGAGCGAUUCACUCACUUGGUAAUUCCGUCUGCUCACAGAAGUCUGCCGCUGCACCAAGGACAAGCAGGGAAGGAAUCUUGAACUUCUUUCAUGUGGGCCAGAGUCUGGAGUACAAGGCUUUUACAAGUACCCUCUGUAAUAGUUCUGGAGACCGGGAAGUCCACUAUAAAGGUGCUUGCUGAUGAGGUUCCCAGUGAGAACCUCUUCCCGGCUCGCAGAUGGCUGGCUCCCUUCUCACUGUGUCCUCACGGGCGGAACAAGAGAGAGGAAUAGGAACCCAGGCGAAGGAGUCGGUACUGGAAGGCAGACUCUCAGGAUGGAGAGUUGCAGAACUCACUGGCCAAGAGGCUAGAAGACCACGGCUGGCGGACACUUUGGUUGCUUCCAUAUCCUGGCCACUGUGAAUAAUGCUGC